AACAAACGCUGGCGGCGUGCCUAAUACAUGCAAGUCGAACGGGGAAAGCUUUCGGGUGAGUACUAGUGGCGCACGGGUAAGUAACGCGUGGAUAAUCUGCCUUAGAGUGGGGGAUAACUAGUCGAAAGAUUAGCUAAUACCGCAUAAGACCACAAGAACUGCGGUUCAAGGGGUCAAAGGUUUUUCGCUCUAAGAUGAGUCCGCGUAAGAUUAGCUAGUUGGUGAGGUAAUGGCUCACCAAGGCGACGAUCUUUAACUGGUCUGAGAGGAUGAUCAGUCACACUGGAACUGAGACACGGUCCAGACUCCUACGGGAGGCAGCAGUAGGGAAUAUUGCACAAUGGAGGAGACUCUGAUGCAGCGACGCCGCGUGAGUGAUGAAGGCCUUCGGGUCGUAAAGCUCUGUCGCAAGGGAAUAACACAAUGAAUGUACCUUGCAAGAAAGGAUCGGCUAACUUCGUGCCAGCAGCCGCCGUAACAC
rnacentral:rRNA from 1 species